rnacentral:rRNA from 1 species
UACGAAGGGUGCAAGCGUUAAUCGGAAUUACUGGGCGUAAAGGGUGCGUAGGCGGUCUGUUAAGUUGGAUGUGAAAGCCCCCGGGCUCAACCUGGGAAUGGCAUCCAAAACUGGCAGGCUGGAGUGCGGUAGAGGAUGGUGGAAUUCCUAGUGUAGCGGUGAAAUGCGUAGAGAUUAGGAAGAACACCAGUGGCGAAGGCGAUUCUCUGGACUGUAACUGACGCUGAGGCUCGAAAGCGUGGGGAGCAAACAGGAUUAGAUACCCCGGUAGU